rnacentral:misc_RNA from 1 species
CUUGGUCAUUUAGAGGAAGUAAAAGUCGUAACAAGGUCUCCGUUGGUGAACCAGCGGAGGGAUCAUUACCGAGUUUACAACUCCCAAACCCCGUGAACAUACCUACGUUGCUUCGGCGGACCGCCCCGGGCGCUUCGUGCCCCGGACUAAGGCGCCCGCCGAGGGCCCGAAACGCAGCAUUCUACCUGAACCUCUGAGUGGCUUACAGCAACUGUAACAACUUUCAACAACGGAUCGCUUGGCUCUGGCAUCGAUGAAGAACGCAGCGAAACGCGAUAAGUAAUGUGAAUUGCAGAAUCCAGUGAAUCAUCGAAUCUUUGAACGCACAUUGCGCCUGGCAGCACUCUGCCAGGCAUGCCUGUCCGAGCGUCAUUUCAACCCUCGGCUCCCCGCCGGUGUUGGGGAUCGGGGCGCCCAGCGCGCCCCGUCCCUGAAAUACAGUGGCGGCCCGGCCGCGCCUCCUCUGCGUAGUAGCACACCUCGCAGCCCGGAGAGCGGCCCGGCCACGCCGUGAACCCCCCACUACCAAGGUUGACCUCGGAUCAGGUAGGAAUACCCGCUGAACUUAAGCAUAUCAAUAAGCGGAGGA